CAUCACACUUCAGACAUCAGUUAGAAUUGCCACUAAUGUUAAAAAUGCUUUUAACAUCAUUUUCACUUAAACUGAUGUGUUAAAGUACUUUAGACAUCAGUUAUUUAUGCAACUGAUAUGUAAGGUACGUGUUUAAAAAAAGUUUCCACCAUUCCCACCCCUAUUUCCCCUUUAUCAAAAAUUUCCCUCCCUUAUAAAAUUUCAACUUCCCUCCCUUAAACAAAUUCCAUCUCCCUCAAUAUUCAUAACAUAAAACGUUGAAAUAAAAUCACUACAAACAAAUACAUAUAAAUAUUUAUAUAAAUCAAAAUCUUUAAAAUAAAAAAUCAUAUAUAUAUUUUUAUUUUGAAAUAUUAAAAAAACAUUAAAAUACACAAAUCAUAUAUGUUAUAACUUUAAAAUUAUAAAAAUAAAUAUUAAAAAUUAUAAUUAUUCAACUAAGUUAAAAAUAUUAAACUAAUUAAAACUACUCCCACACACACAUAAAUUAAAAUCACCCAACACAUUACAACCCAACACAUUACACAUAUAAAAUUACAUAUCUAACAAAAAUAUAAAAUUAAAGCAUAUAUACUAAACCAAAAUCAUAACGAAAGACACAUUCACACACACUCAAUCACUCGUUUAUAAAAAAAGUCCCGACAUAUCAAAGCUCAAGAACCCUAAAAUCCUCCUGACAAGAAAUCCUUCUACGUCCUGCGAUUCCGUCCCAAUUCAGGCACUUCAAAAGCUAUAAAUCCUCGAUCCCGUCCCACCUCAGUCCCUCGAUGUCGUUCCCCUACAUCUCGCUGGUUGCUGCUCAGGGUCGAGGACUCAAAGCUUCAGUUUAAUCAAUGGACUGGGAGCUUAAUUAUUAAGUUGGUAAUCUUUGAUUGAUGUAUACAUGAUGUAUUUGUUUGUUUAUUGGGGUCUUUAUUGUGCUAUUGUAUAUAUAUGAUGAUUCUUGAUUUUGGGGUUCUUUAUAUGAGGGCUUUUGAUUUUUAGGGCUCUGCUAGUGAUUUAUAUCUCUUAAGAUUUUAUUGAUUUGGUUUGCUUAUGGUUUGUUUAUGAUUCUGAUGGUUUGAUUUUUAGGGCCUUUUGGUUAUGGUCUGCUUAUAUAUCUACUUAUGAUUUGCUUGUGAUUCUUUUGUUGUGCUUGUAUAUGUAUGUCUUUGUGGUUUGCGGGUGUGGAAGUAUACUUGAUAAAAAUUAGUGUUGCAACAAAUGAACUGAUAUUAGUAGAAUACAGCAAAUUUAGGGUUAAUUUUGACUGGAAGUAGAGAUACUUGUAUAUAUGAUUAUAUUAACUUAAUAGUUUUGACUGGAACUAUACUUGCUAGUGCCCAAGCUUCUUCAGCAAAUGGGUGGACAAGAGUUAUUGUUGAGAAGCCAUAUGGCCGUGAUUCAGAGUCAUUUGCCGAACUUACUAGAUGUCUAAAGCAGCACUUGGCAGAGGACCUGCAGAAUCGGGUAUAGUAUGAUUAAAGAUGCAGAGGAUAAAGGUUUAAUCAUCCUUGGGAAGCAAGGAUAUUGCUAAGGUAAAAGAUGAUCAGGAGUGGGAGAUAUUCGAAACCAAGAAAGCAUUAUCAAGAACAGGACCUAAUGCAGCAUAUCAACCAAAAAAGAUUUCCAUGGAAGAGGAGCUAAAGAUUUUCCAACGAUGCACGGGGAUCAAUGAAAUUAUGUUCUACUCGCCAGUGCUGUUUACUACAUCUUCCAGGAGCAAAUUUAAACGACAUAUAUAGCUUUGAUUAUGUACUUUAGAGGCUUUGAUUAUGUACUUGAUAUUUAAAUUAGAUGGCUGUGUAGUAGUUGAUCGAUAUUGGAUUUUAUGGAUGUGUAGUCGGUGAAAUUGGAAUUUGAUGGAUGGAUGUACAUUUGGUUUAUAUAUGCUUUAAUAAGAUUUAGCUGUUGAUUUGGUUGUUUCUUGGUUUGUUA